rnacentral:rRNA from 1 species
CCUACGUGUGGCAGCAGUGAGGAAUAUUGGUCAAUGGGCGCGAGCCUGAACCAGCCAAGUAGCGUGAAGGAUGACUGCCCUACGGGUUGUAAACUUCUUUUAUAAAGGAAUAAAGUGAGGCACGUGUGCCUUUUUGUAUGGACUUUAUGAAUAAGGAGCGGCUAACUCCGUGCCAGCAGCCGCGGUAAUACGGAGGAGCCGAGCGUUAUCCGGAUUUAGUGGGGUUAAAGGGAGCGUAGAUGGGUUGGUAAGUCAGUUGUGAAGGUUUGCGGCUCAACCGUAAAAUUGCAAUUGAUACGGGCAGCCUUGAGUACAGUUGAGGUAGGCGGCAUUCGUGGUGUAGCG